rnacentral:lncRNA from 1 species
UGAUUCACCUUUCAUCCUUUUCCUUCAAUUUUUAUGUUGCUUUCCUAAUGAUCAAGUUUCCUUGGAUGGUACUUUUGGUUCAUUUAUUCAAUGCUACAAGUGCAAUUUUUUAAAAUAUGAAAGAAACAACAGUUGCAAACUCAUUCGUUAAAUAUAAACAUUACUGAAUUAAUACAAUGGGGAAGAGUAUUUAUCAAUGAUAUUACUCUUUGUUAGGUAUACAUUCG